AGGAAAAGUGAGGCCCUAGCCUGGAGAGAGGGGAGCGAGGCAGAGGCUGGUGAGUCCCUCCUGAGCAAACACAGGUAGGGAGAGGAGCUGGAGGCAGAGGAAGCCUGGAGCUCCCACGCACAUUCAGCAGGGGAUCAGGACAGAUUGAACAGAGAGCAGGCAAUAUGGAAAAGCUGGAAGAUCCAGGCUGAGAGGAAGCAGGUAAAGAGCAGGAAAAGCUUAGUAACACCAGGAAAGGCAGGCAGAGGGCACAGAUGGGCACUCCAGAAAAGAGAUUCUUGAGUGUUUGUGCUGGAACCUGGAGUCCACUAGUCUAGUAUUUAGGGGACAGAAAGCCCAAGGUCAAGAGCCUGGCCCCUAGAGGACAAAGGAGAAAGGAUGGGAACCCAGAAAUAGUGGCUUGAAUCCUUGCAGCCGUCUUGGGCUAUGAGGCAACCUUGGGGACAGAAGCCGGCAUCAGGGCUGGUGAAUCAGAAAGGAUCUGGCCCUUUCCCUGUUCCACCUCACUCCUGUACUGCACUGACCCAGCCUGGCCCACCUCUGGCCAGUCCUCCACAGACUGAGGUCUCUCAUGGGAGCUGAGGUCAGCCUUUACUGCUUCAUGCUGCCUCUGGGAUCAGAGGCUCUUGGGUGUGAUUUCCAAGGUCCUCUCCUCUCCUGCCACCUCCACCAGCACUGAGCUUCCUGCAGCUCCCAGAAUGGUUUCCUCCACCCGCAAGGAAAGCAACUCAGUUUAAAUCCUGAUUCUAUACCAGUUAUCAGCAGGGUCACCUCAGAACCUCAUCUCCUCACUCACAAAUAGGGAUAACUAAAUCACAGGAUCAAAAACAGUCUAUUGUUGCAAAUACAGGUAACAUAAAAUAUGUCAUUUUAACCAUUUGUACAUGCACUGUUCAGUGGCAUCAAGCACAUUCACAGUGCUGUGCAACCAUCACACCAUCCAACUCCAGAACCCUUGCAUCUUCCUCAAUGGAAACAUUUUAAGUUAAAAAUUUAUUGACAUUCUGAUUGUAAAAAACUCUAAUAUUACUUUUAAUUUGUAAUAGGAGUUACUCUCCAAAAAUGUUAACCACAGCUGAAUUGAAAGAGUCUUUGGGAAAUGUGGCAAUGUUGUUUAUAUAAGUAUACCACAUUAUAAGUCUACUGGAGAUCCAAAGGGAUUUGCGUUUGUGGAAUUUGAAACAAAAGAACAAGCAGCAAAAGCAAUUGAGGUAGGUCCAGAUCCUGAAGUCAGAACAGGGAAGAGGAAGAGAAGCAGCUCUGAAGAUGCAGAAUCCCUAGCUCCCCGAUCAAAAGUAAAGAAAAUUAUUCAGAAAGACAUCAUUAAGGAAGCUUCAGAAGCUUCCAAGGAAAAUAGAGAUAUAGAAAUCUCUACUGAAGAGGAAAAGGAUACCGGAGAUCUAAAAGAGAGCUCUCUCUUGAAAACAAAAAGGAAACAUAAGAAAAAAACAUAGAGACAUAAAAUAGGAGAAGAAGUUAUACCAUUAAGAGUACUAUCAAAGCUCAAGAUCCUGAGGAAGCCGCUCUUCUGACCCUCUGUCCAGUUCAGAAAGAGCCGGUUCACGUAAUCCUUGUGAAUGGAAGGCGGCCU